UACGUAGGGGGCGAGCGUUGUCCGGAGUUACUGGGCGUAAAGGGCAUGCAGGCGGUCCGACACGUUUUGUGUGACAGCGGGUGGCUUAACUACCCGAGGAUACGAAAGACGGUUGGACUUGAGGACUCGAGAGGGACACGGAAUUCCGGGUGGAGUGGUGAAAUGCGUAGAGAUCCGGAGGAACACCGAAGGCGAAGGCAGUGUCCUGGCGAGUGACUGGCGCUGAGGUGCGAAAGCCAGGGGAGCGAACGGG
rnacentral:rRNA from 1 species